rnacentral:rRNA from 1 species
AUUGAACGCUGGCGGCAUGCCUUACACAUGCAAGUCGAACGGUAACAGGUUAAGCUGACGAGUGGCGAACGGGUGAGUAAUAUAUCGGAACGUGCCCAGUCGUGGGGGAUAACUGCUCGAAAGAGCAGCUAAUACCGCAUACGACCUGAGGGUGAAAGCGGGGGAUCGCAAGACCUCGCGCGAUUGGAGCGGCCGAUAUCAGAUUAGGUAGUUGGUGGGGUAAAGGCCUACCAAGCCUACGAUCUGUAGCUGGUCUGAGAGGACGACCAGCCACACUGGGACUGAGACACGGCCCAGACUCCUACGGGAGGCAGCAGUGGGGAAUUUUGGACAAUGGACGCAAGUCUGAUCCAGCCAUGCCGCGUGCGGGAAGAAGGCCUUCGGGUUGUAAACCGCUUUUGUCAGGGAAGAAAAGGUUCUGGUUAAUACCUGGGACUCAUGACGGUACCUGAAGAAUAAGCACCGGCUAACUACGUGCCAGCAGCCGCGGUAACAC